GCGGAAGUGGUGGAAUCGGUAGACACGCUAUCUUGAGGGGGUAGUGCCGCAAGGUGUGGGGGUUCAAAUCCCCCCUUCCGCA
rnacentral:tRNA from 1 species